UAAUUUGUUGUAUUGACAAGUCAAGCUAGUAGAUAUUUAUAAUAUUAUAGUGGCUUGAUUGGAUGUUUUUAAAUAAAGAUUUACAAAAACUAUGAUUGUGAAAGUGGAAGUCGUGACAUUUGCCUAGUUUGGUAGCCCAUACUCGGAAUUGGUCUGCAUUUAACUUAUCCAAGUACACACACACACAGUAGUGAGAAGUGAAGACACCGUGAACACAUAGAGCAGUGGGCAGCUAUAGAUCCUGCGCCCUGGGAGCAACUGAGGGGUUCAGCAGAACAGGUUAUUUUGUCAGGUGAGGGGGCGUGUUUCGGAGGGUAAGUGACGUCAAUGUAACCCUUUAUUUAAAGUGCUGAGUAUGACGGUUCUGGCACUCAGCUGGACUGUUUGUUGAAGUCUGUGUAAAAUGGAGAAAAUUGGUGAGAAGUAAAAAAAUUUUUUAGAGCGGAACAAUGUUUUUAUUUUAUGUGUACCGAGUGUAUUACUCUUUAUUUUUGUAGUUGUUAAUCUUUAUAUUUUAUUUAUUUUGUUGGCACAGAAAGCAACAAGGUUGUUUCCAGGUUUGGGAAGAAAGACUUCCUUGUACCUAAAGGUCUGAAUGUUUGCUUCUUGACGGAUUCCAUGUGCCGUGGUUUGGACCAAUACUGUGAGGGCGCAUAUUGUUGGGUUCAUCCGGGAACUACUUUGGUCCGUUCAGCACAACAGCACGUUUAUCAUCUGAGAAGAGUAAACGGGGAUGCCUUGUUAAUCAUUCACAUUGGGACAAAUGAUGUCGCUAGUGGGGUUUCAGCGGAAACCAUCGUUAACCGAAUGGCAUUGCUUGUGGAACGCCUUCGUCACUCUUUUAAGUACAAACUGUAUUUCGCUAUUUGUUCUGUUUUGCCUCGUUAUGUUGAUGACAAGCAAACUAAACAUACAGUGAAGCGUUGCAAUAUAUUGUUGGAAAGAUGGUCUAGUGAGAUGGACAAUGUUGUUUUUUUGCGAACGUGGAGAGCCUUUGUGUCUGGAGGAUGUAUAUGUUCUGAAAUGUUCCGUCCAGAUGGACUUCACUUGAAUGUGAAAGGGAAAGAUCGUCUUUUCCAGUAUUUCAAACAUUUUUUGUGGAACUUUUGUAACUAUAUUCUUCGCUUUCCAAGCUUGCAGCAAUAAAUCUCUAUGGAAAUAAGCUUUUAAAAGUGUUGAUGCAACUUAUUUAUUGUUCGAUAUUUUUGGGGUUAAAAAAAUGUUCUGCAAAUAUCAAUUGUGUGUAUAUACAGGGGUGCACAUAAAUGGUCCAUAACCAAAAAAAAAAAAAAAAAAAAAA